rnacentral:rRNA from 1 species
CCUACGGGAGGCUGCAGUGAGGAAUAGUGGUCAAUGGGCGCGAGCCUGAACCAGCCAAGUAGCGUGAAGGAUGACGGCCCUACGGGGUGUAAACUGCUUUUAUAAAGGAAGAAAGUGAGGCACGUGUGCCUUUUUGUAUGUACGUUAUGAAUAAGGAUCGGCUAACUCCGUGCCAGCAGCCGCGGUAAUACGGAGGAUCCGAGCGUUAUCCGGAUUUAUUGGGUUUAAAGGGAGCGUAGAGGGGUUGUUAAGUCAGUUGUGAAAGUUGGCGGCUCAACCGUAAAAUUGCCAUUGAUACGGGCAGUCUUGCGUACAGUUGCGGUCGGCGGAUUUCGUGGUGUAGCGGUGACAUGCUUAGAUAUCAC